AAAAGAAAAGAAAGUCUAGGUCACAAGGACUGAAAUUCCUAGGCAAGUCUUAGUGCUGCGCUGUGCUCAGAACUGGUGGAUAAGAGGGACACAGGACAUAGAAAGACACCAGCCCAGGUGGUAAGGGAGUGCUUGCACCACUCCUUGUAAAAGCCGAGGCAGAUCAGCUCACAGCAACAAAAGUGACUCCUUCAUUUCGCUUGACAAGGGUAGAGGAAAGAGGAAAGAAGACUUGGUUUUGCAUCUUGGAAACCAGCUCAGCCACAGUAGAAUAGGACACUGGGCAGAGUCACCAGGCCCUACUUCCUGGAAUACGUAUCUAGACACAUCCUGGGCCAGGAAAAAACCUGCUGCCUUGAAGGGAAGAGCUCAGUCUUGGCAGGAUUCAUCACCUGCCGAAUAAAGAGUCCACAGGCCCUGAAGAACCAGCAGCAAUACCCAGGUAGUAGACUGUGGGCCUUGGGUGAGACUGAAAUGUGCUGGUUUCAGUAACCAGCUCAGCCACACUGGGGUAGACCACCAAAUGGGCUCUUCAGGUCUCUGAUUUCAGGCCUUGGCUCUUGGAUGGCAUUUGUGGGCCUGCCCGGGGUCAAAGGGAGCUCACUGCCCUGAAGGGUGAGUCCUAGGCCUGGCAGCAUUCAUACAAGCUGACUGAAGGGCCCUUGGGUUCUAAGUGAACAUUGGCAGUGGCCUGGCAGUACUCCCUGUGUGCCUGUGGUGGUGACCAUGAGGAGAGGCUUCACUGCCUGUGGAAAGAGGAGAGAAGAGUGAGAAGGACCUUUUUUUGUGGUUUGGGUGCCAGCUCAGCUGCAGUAGAAUGGACCACCAAGAACAUUUGUAAGGUUUCCGACUCCAGGCCCUGUCUCCUGGAUGGCAUCUCUGGACCUUCCUGGGUCCUGGAAGAACUCACCACCCUGAAGGGAAGGACAGAAGCCUGGCUGGCUUUGCAACCUGCUAAUUCCUAGGGCCUUGAGUGAAAAUAGCAACAAGGUACCCAAGUAGGGUUAAAAUGGGCUGUGGGUAAGACCCAGUGAUGUGCUGGCUUCAGAUCAACAUUGGUGGUCUUGGAUAAGAUCUGCAAGAAGUAUCUGGAUUAACAGGCAGAGAAUCUUGUUCUCUUUCCUUACUUUCUUCCAAACAGUCUCUCUCUGUGUGUUGAGCUGUCUAAAGCUGGGAGAGGGGUGACACCAGUAGUAUCCUUCUGGACACCAGUACUGGGACUGUACUGAGUCACAUCUGAAGACACUAUAUCACCUGUGGUGCUGGGAUACCCCUUCCCAUACAGCUUAGAUCUCAUGGCUUGUUCUUAGUUUCCAAACUCUCCAUGUACUCUGUGCUUAUAUGUCUCAUCUUCUCACCUAGAUUGUCCCAGCAUCACAACGUAGUGCAUGAUCCAUCACCAAGUGUCCCAUACACUGGUCAUGUCACCUCUGACACUUGCUUAAUUACUCUGAAUCUCUCUUUCCUUGAAAUAAAGAGAAAAGAAACCAUCCUUCUCACCUUACCAAACUGUUGUUAGAAAUAAAAUGAACAGUAGAACUGUGGUAUUUUAGCAUUGAAAGAAAACUCAAUAAUAUCCAAUCACUCAAUUUCCAAGUGGUGAAACAGGAUUCUGGGAAGUUCACAGAGUUCCUUUCCCUGGCUACGGAGCUAGCAAUGAUAACUAAUACUAUCUUAAACUUACUGUAGCUAUAUGUAGAUGGUGAUUCACUUAUGGGGCAUUUUUACAUAACCAACUAAUUGAAUCAUUGUUCAUUUACAAAUAAGCACGUGCUCCAUGCCCGGCCUGUGCUAGGCAGAGGGGUAAAGAAGAUCCACACCAAGCUCCAUCCUCUCAGAGUUGUGGCAUCUCAAGGGGGACUGUCAUGAGGAACUGGCAUGAGGCCCUAAUACAAGAGUGAGAGAUACAGCAGAGCCGGGGAGCACACAGCAGGGGCUGGGGCCAGGGAAGCCUCAGACAGACGAGGUCCAUGAGGGCCCUGGGCUACAGACAGGAGACUUUUAGGGUAAUGAGGAAAAUGAGGCAGCCAGAUGGAGUCCCAGCAAAAGCAGACUUCAGGCAGAAGGAACGGCAAGUCCAGGGCUCUGGAUGAGAGAAGAUCAACAACAGGAGACAGAGGGACCCCUCUAGAGGCAGGAGGAAAGAUAAAUGGCCACAGGCUGCUGUCAUCUAGGCCAGGGUUCUGGCAGCAAUGAAAACACGUCUGCAGGAGGAGAAAGAAGUGCUUUUGAAUCCAUCUUACUCAUCGUCUGUCUCUUGUCUCUUCAAAGUGAAUGCAGUUGGAAGGAAAGGGACAGGUUGGUUCUGUGCUUUGCCCAAGUAGGUCCAAAUUCUGUUUUUUUUCAGGAUGUAGCAGGGUGAGCUGUUCUGACAAACUUGAUCUUAGCACAACAGGGGCAGUAAGGUCAUCAUCCCCACCAGUCCUUUGCCCUAGGAUUACAGGACCUGCCCCCAGAGGGACAGGAGCUCAUCCUACACUGUCCCAGUGUUUCUGUGAAACACCUUAGCUCCCUGGCUGAUUCCCCAGUGGCUCAGGGGCCCAGGGAGCCUCCUCACACCCAAGGUCCCUGUCCCCAGGUGUGGGGGAUCCCUAUGUAUGACAUUGUGGGUGACUGGGACUCCUCACUGAACAGGAUCAGUAAAGGGCCUGCCUGGCUCUAGGCACUCAUUCAGCUGCACUGGAAUUUGGAGAAAGAGGCUGCAGAAUACACCCCUAGCCCUAAUUAGGAAAGAAACAGAGUGGUCUUGAGUCAACUCCUGAAAGCUGUGUGUGCCCUGGAUCAAUGGCCCACGGGACAUGUAGAACAGAGGCAGGAAGUCCCACUGUAAAUGGCAGACUUCAGUUUCCAGGACUUAGAUUCCACUGGGAAGCAGCUGUCCAAUUCACAAAAUUGUCAGUGAUCAAAAUAAAUAUAAUAAAGUAGUUCAUUUUAAGCAAUGCAAAGAAAGCUGAGUGGCAGAUAAAGCUAAAGAUGAGCUCCAGAUGCCACCAGGCAUAGCACGUGGAGGGACUGCAUACCCGCGUCCAGCGUAACUUACAACUCCUGGAAUGCUGGGACUGUGCAGUGUUAAUUCUAAUGGCCCAUGGAGGCAUAAUUAAUUAACCUUUCAGUUACUCUGGGCACUGCCCUUAUCCAAACAUAAAUAUGUGUAUGCCGGGAAAAUUUUGCAAUAUAGAAAGCCGACAUCGUUGACUCCUUAUUCAUAGGCAAAUCCAGUGCUUUUCAAUUUUGACUGUGCAGCAGAAUCACCGAUGGAUUUUAUUUUUAAAAUAGGGGUACGUAUGUCUCAUCUCACCCAGGGUGAGGUCCAUGGAUCUAAUGUUAUGAAGCCCACAGUGGGUCCCAAAUCCCAGCUGAGCUCCAGGACUAGGAAUGUCACCCAGCCUCCCUGCUGUAGAGCUGCACCAUGGCUUUCGUUCUUCCCGUGGUGGAAACAAAGCUUGCCUAGAGUUUCUGGAUGCAGCAUCUCUCCGAAAACAAGCUGGGGCUCUGCCGCCCUCACUGGAGCACAGCCAGUGCUGUGGAGCCCCCAGAGUGGCCACAGGGAUAGAGGGGACUUAAAACUGAGUAGGGGGCAACAGAGUUGGGGGUCUAUCCACCACAUGUGGACACACAGCAAGUCAGGCAUGUGGGAAGGAGGGAACAGCAGCGUGGAAUGGAAAUGGCAAAUGUUCAUCCAGCCAGGUGUUAUUUUAUUUAUGGCUUCUGGGGAAAUGGGAUGAACAAUUUCAGAACAGCCUUGGGUUGAACUUGAUGCUGCAAAUGGAACUUAAUUGCUCAAAUAAUGUCAUAUCAAUUUCAUAUAAAUGAUAAAGAAGGAAAGUCCCUCUUUCUAGAGAGAAAACUCUCCUGACGGCAUCAGGCUGUCCUGGGAAGUCACUGCUUCCCUUUUCUGUUGUGGGGCAUAACGGGAGAUGAAGCUGGGAAUUGACAAUCUCUUUUUUCUGCUGGACUGAAACCUCCUGGAGCAGAAAAAUAGUUUUUUAUUUUGCAAAUGAAAGUCAAAGAUGUGGCAGGAGUUGAGGGUGGGCAUUGCAAGAGCUAAAUCCGGUGCUUCUGACAGCCCAGCCCUAGUGAGAGGCCCCUUCUGAGAGUCCCAGGGACUCUUAUGUAAAUGAAACUCAAAUAGAGCUCCCCACAGCACCUGAGCUUAGGGUCACCAGGCUCUGGGACUCUGUAUGUGCUCCCAGGAGAUUCCAUCCCCAGGAUAACACUGCAGGUCAAUUUGUGCUUUUCCUACCAUGCAAACCAUACUCUGGUAACUGUGCAGGAUUCUAAGAAAUAAACUUAUUGAACCAAAGUAUUGUAUAACUUAUUUUAAGUUAUAUAUUUUUCCUUGUCAUUAGUAACCAAAGAAUAAUU
rnacentral:lncRNA from 1 species